GAUGAACGCUGGCGGCGUGCCUAAUACAUGCAAGUCGAGCGAACAGAUAAGGAGCUUGCUCCUUUGACGUUAGCGGCGGACGGGUGAGUAACACGUGGGUAACCUACCUAUAAGACUGGAAUAACUCCGGGAAACCGGGGCUAAUGCCGGAUAACAUUUAGAACCGCAUGGUUCUAAGGUGAAAGAUGGUUUUGCUAUCACUUAUAGAUGGACCCGCGCCGUAUUAGCUAGUUGGUAAGGUAACGGCUUACCAAGGCAACGAUACGUAGCCGACCUGAGAGGGUGAUCGGCCACACUGGAACUGAGACACGGUCCAGACUCCUACGGGAGGCAGCAGUAGGGAAUCUUCCGCAAAGGGCGAAAGCCUGACGGAGCAACGCCGCGUGAGUGAUGAAGGUCUUCGGAUCGUAAAACUCUGUUAUUAGGGAAGAACAAAUGUGUAAGUAACUGUGCACGUCUUGACGGUACCUAAUCAGAAAGCCACGGCUAACUACGUG
rnacentral:rRNA from 1 species